rnacentral:rRNA from 1 species
AAUAGAUACCCAGGUAGUCCAUGCUGUAAACGAUGAGAACUAGAUGUUAGGGGGCAUGACCUCUUAGUAUCGAAGCUAACGCGAUAAGUUCUCCGCCUGGGGAGUACGGCCGCAAGGUUAAAACUCAAAGAAAUUGACGGGGGCCCGCACAAGCGGUGGAGCAUGUGGUUUAAUUCGAUGCAACGCGAAGAACCUUACCUACCUUUGAAUCCACGGAACCUAGCAGAGAUGUUGGGGUGCCUUCGGGAACCGUGAGACAGGUGCUGCAUGGCUGUCGUCAGCUCGUGUCGUGAGAUGUUGGGUUAAGUCCCGUAACGAGCGCAACCCUUGUCCUUAGUUGCCAUCAGGUUAUGCUGGGCACUUUAAGGAGACUGCCGGUGAUAAACCGGAGGAAGGUGGGGAUGACGUCAAGUCCUCAUGGCCCUUACAGGUAGGGCUACACACGUGCUACAAUGGGCAGUACAGAGGGAAGCCAACCCGCGAGGGGGAGCGAAUCUCAUAAAGCUGUUCGUAGUCCGGAUUGGAGUCUGCAACUCGACU